rnacentral:lncRNA from 1 species
CAACACAGAUGACUUUCCAGAACUCUAAGUUAAUGCAAGCAAGCAACGAAAAAAGUAUUAGCCUAUAACCGUGAAUAACAAAGGUAAAAUUCAAAAUUCCACCUUUUUCACUACUUGAAAUCAAAUCAGCACAAAAGCAUCGUCAAGACUAUAAAGUGACUUUUAAAGCUCAAAAGGAUUAUCAAUUAGAAAGUGACAAAGUUGUGUUGCAAAAGAUUUUUUCAGAGUUGUCACUUAACAUUUAAUUUCGGUGUACCAAGUUACCAUUUAAA